CGGCGAACUGACCAAACCAGGUAGCAAUGCGUGGAGCCGCCUACACUCUACCAUUGCUAAUCCUCUCGAUUUCAGACCUCUUGCAUCAGAUCUUUGCCUCUCAAGAGUUUCUUCACCUUGAAUUUGCUAAACCUGUAGUUUUUGCCUCCUGUAAUUAAUUUGAUUGACAUGGAUUGAAGAAAACCCCUUUUUCUUAUACAAUUGAAAUAUGAAAGCCC